GCGGGCGUAGUUCAAUGGUAGAACGAGAGCUUCCCAAGCUCUAUACGAGGGUCGAUUCCCUUCGCCCGCUCCA
rnacentral:tRNA from 1 species